UUGGAUGGUUGGCCUCUUGGUUACAAGCAUGUACAUUAUGGCUCUCUCCUUGCCUGGAACUGGAUAUGAGAAAUGCUUGAAUUAAGAUCUGUGAAUUAUCUUAUUUUCUUGUCAGAAGGUUGCAGAUUGCCCAUACUUCAUAGCAGAGCAACAGGGGGGACUUAGGGACAAAAAGCUCAAAGGCAGGGAAGACUGAGGAAGCUAAGUUACUGGCCAUAUGUUUAAUAAAUAUAAGCUUAAUGGCAGUGAAUGUAUUAAUGUCAGCGAAGACAAGUCUAUGAAGUUAAACAGGCACAGAGAGGCUAAGAGUCUUGCCAAAGGCCACAGAGGAAGGAAGAGACUAAAUCUGGAACAAACUUUCUAUUCUCCAAUUCCAGAAGAAACCACUAAACCAUGCUUCCUCUUGUCAUGGAAGCUUAAAAUAUUUGGACUGUCUGUGGAUCCAGGGAGGAAUUUCAGAAGAGCCAGGAUUAGUCAAUCAAAUUAAACUCAAUAUCACCCAAAUAAAGUUGGUCAGAUCAAAAUACAUUUAAAUGAGAAUUAAAAUGCCAUUUGUCCAUCACCUAAUGGCUCAAUUUGCUCCUGCCUUGGGUGUGCACACCCUGCUCUGGAACAGACCAGAGCUCUAAAGAAGUGACUGGAAGUUGUGAAUGUCAUUAUUAUGAAGCUUCAAAUUUGCUCUCCUCUUUAGGACACAGACAUGGCAUUAGAGAAGGGCAGAAAACUGCACUUGGCUGUGCAUAGAGAACGCUAGAGACCUCUUGUGCAAGAGAGGGGACUAGGUUGCGUAGUGUAAUGAGAGAAGCAUGGGUUUUGAGACCGCUACAAUGUCUGUUUCUUCUUGGCCAACAUUUCAGUAAGAGUAGUAAGCAUAUCUCCACAAUAGGGUUAAGAGAACCAGUGUCUUCUGAAAAACACAUGAAAUCAUCGUAACCCUGCUAAGUCUGUGCUUUGCAAAAAUUAAAAGUAAAACUAAUUUUCA